rnacentral:lncRNA from 1 species
AUGAAUAUACAUGUUGGACUUGGAACUUGUCUUAGGAGAAAACCAGCAAUUCGACCUGUCAUAUGAUUCUACUACCUGAUUUAGCUCUAAGAGCCGUGAUUUAAUUGUAUCACCGUUGUUUCAGCGCGGUGGAUACCCGGGGUAGUUUAGAAUGCAUUUACGCUCGUGCUGGGAUGCCGAGUUUAUUUUUACAGUAGAGUCUAGGCUGUUUCGGAUUGUCGGGUGCUGUCGGGGUGGACGGUGGACCCAGAUUCCUGUUUUUGAUCUCAGAUUGUGCCGAGGGCACGUGGGUUUGGUUUCUAAACCUGUUUUGACCCUAGUUACUUGACUUUGGCUUGUUAGAGCCUGAUUGAGCUCGAUAGAGAUACGCUGCAUACUCGGUUGGAUAGCUCCGACGAGUGUCACUCCGGAGACAGGCGCUGUACUUUUGCGUUGGUGUCGUUCGUACAGGUUGGACUUGCUCUCCACAGACUGGUUAGUAUGGAGGUAGCUGUAUAGUCGCAACCAGGCGGGACGGGUGUGUUCACAGUCCUAUGGACGGGUAUGAUUACAGUCCUUAUUUGAGAUUGGGUCAUGAGUUAAUAUUGUUCUACAGAGAGUUAGAGUUAGAGCAUGAUAGUAUAGCGGUAUUUAGCUGUAGAUUUGUUCCAUCUUUCUUUACUAUUCCUGUUUAUCCCUGUAGACUUAGUGGGUGGACCGAUGAGUUUGAGGGCGGUACCCAUUGAGGACUACUUUUUUUGUAGUAGUUCUCACGUCCAGUUGUUACCACUGUUUUGUAGAGUCGUCGCCUUCGGCUGCUGCUGUUGCUGUUGCUGAUCUUGAUCGUGGCAAGGGCGUCGCAAGUUAGAGCCCUUCCAGUCGAGUCGCAGAGCUAGAGGAGCACCAGCUACAGGUAGUUGUAGUUUUUGGGUCUUUACAUAUGGUUGUUGUUAUCUCGUUAGAGCGAGUAUUUGUAUAUCUAGAUCACAUGUAUGUAUUGAACCACAGUUUUUAUAUAUGGUUUAUUUUUCUAACUGCUCUAUACUACUGUUUGUAGUAUUGUAUGAUUACAGGUACUACUUUUUCGCUUCGUAUACAUAAGAAAUAACUAUGUAUACGGCGGGUCUGUUAGCGAGCCCGGGGAUCUGAGUAAUCCGGGGCGUGACAUAAAUCACAUAAAAUAUCGUUGUAUAAAAAAAUACAUAAUUUAAAUUUCUUCAAAACUAAAAAUUUUAAAUCUCUAAACUCUAUGAAAUUAAUUAAUUUUAUUAAUAAUAUGCAUAAUAAAUCGUAUAAUAAAAUUUAACAUGAUAGAUUUAAUUUAAAUCACUUAA